rnacentral:rRNA from 1 species
CCUACGGGUGGCAGCAGUGAGGGAUAUUGGUCAAUGGGGGAAACCCUGAACCAGCAACGCCGCGUGAGGGAAGACGGUUUUCGGAUUGUAAACCUCUGUCCUCUGUGAAGAUAAUGACGGUAGCAGAGGAGGAAGCUCCGGCUAACUACGUGCCAGCAGCCGCGGUAAUACGUAGGGAGCAAGCGUUGUCCGGAUUUACUGGGUGUAAAGGGUGCGUAGGCGGCCCUGCAAGUCAGAAGUGAAAUCCACGGGCUCAACCCGUGAACUGCAUUUGAAACUGUUUCCCUUGAGUGUCGGAGAGGUAAUCGGAAUUCCUUGUGUAGCGGUGAAAUGCGUAGAUAUAAGGAAGAACACCAGUGGCGAAGGCGGAUUACUGGACGAUAACUGACGGUGAGGCGCGAAAGCGUGGGGAGCAAACAGGAUUAGAUACCCGGGUAGUC